CUACGGGAUGCAGCAGUGAGGAAUAUUGCACAAUGGAGGAAACUCUGAUGCAGCAACGCCGCGUGGAGGAUGACGCACUUCGGUGUGUAAACUCUUUUUAUAUGUCAAGAAAAUGACGGUAGCAUAUGAAUAAGCACCGGCUAACUCCGUGCCAGCAGCCGCGGUAAUACGGAGGGUGCAAGCGUUACUCGGAAUCACUGGGCGUAAAGGACGCGUAGGCGGGAUAUCAAGUCAGGUGUGAAAUCCUACAGCUUAACUGUAGAACUGCACUUGAAACUGGUAACCUAGAGUAUGGGAGGGGGGGAUGGAAUUAGUGGUGUAGGGGUAAAAUCCGUAGAUAUCACUAGGAAUACCUAAAGCGAAGGCGAUCUCCUGGAACAUAACUGACGCUAAGGCGUGAAAGCGUGGGGAGCAAACAGGAUUAGAUACCCCCGUAGUC
rnacentral:rRNA from 1 species